rnacentral:tRNA from 1 species
CUCCCUGAGGCUCAGUUGGUAGAGCAUGGUGUGUGCAAUGCCAGGGUUGUGGGUUCAAUUCCCACAGGGGGC